UUGUUGAGUUUUGCCAGUCUCUUCUGUUGCGAGGAAUUAAAAUGCUAAAAAAUUAGUGGGCACAAACUCACUUCUGGGUACCAGCAGGAAGGCUCACAAAGCUGCUCUCUGACCUACUGAUAGGUGUCCUCAGUAGGACAAGUCAUCUGUGGGAAAUCAGGACAGUUUGCAAAACAACUGAGCUGCAUGGCUAGAGGUCAACACAGAGUUACACCUUCACAAUAUUUAGCUUGAGUUCCCAACCACAUCAAAUUCAUGCUCUUGGGGUGACUAAGAAAUAAUGAUUUUCAUUAAAGCGUCUUCAGAAGAGCCUUGACCCUUGUAUUCUUUAUUUUUCUGUUUGUACAACCCCCACUGCAAAAAGUACACAAGCUUUGCAGCCCACCAGCCAAUUUGCAUAAGAUUGGAUAAUUGUAACUCCUGAUACUUCUAGAGCUGGUGAUCAAGUAGCUCUUUCUGAAAAACACAAAUAGGAAUCAGUAAAAAUAAGCCAAAGUCAAGCUGUCUUCAGAUCUGGAAUUACUUUUACUGGUCCAAUGCACAGCAAAAUUUCCAAAGACCCUGAUGCUUCUUGUCCACUGGUUUGCUGUAAAGGCUACAACUAUCACCUGGAGGAGAGUGUAGGCAGAGAACUCAAUCAGAAGACAGCAGAAAGGUAUGACACUGAGGAGGGUGAAUAGACUGCUUGUGCUCAGCAGUUGCUGGUCCACACUGCAGUUAUGUGAUAACGCUGAGCCUCGUGUCACUUUCCAAGGUCUGAAGCGGUGGCCAUGAGGCAGAUUAGCAGGUCCUUUACUUGGGUUGCAGCUUUUGGUAGUAACACCUUGUACAGUGCAUAAGACUCCCUUCUGACACAGUAGAUAUGUCUUCAAUAAUUGAA
rnacentral:lncRNA from 10 species